AUUUAUUUGAGUUUACUGUGUGCUUGCUCUGCUGUCCAGUUCUGAAUUGUGGCUGCUUGUGAUGGCUAUUGUUCCUAUCUACUGUUUUUCUAUGGAUUCUGUUCUGCUACUGCUUCGGUUGUGACACUAGUACGCUUAAGCUUAAGCGACUGUUGCUGUUGUUGUCAUAGCUUUGUUGCUGUCUAUUGAAUAAUGGCUCCCGAUAGCUACUGCUACUGUUUUAGUUGCAUGCAAUCUGUCAUGUAGCUUCUGGUAUAUGCUAGAAUACUUUAUGAGUUCUACAUCUGUUUUGUUGCUGAUGUUUCUAUUGUGGUCAUCAUGGCAAUAGUUAGCUGCUGCUGUAACGUUCUGUUUGAUGCUGAUCAGUAUUGAAAUGUUCUGGUAUAUGCUAGUAUAACUGGACCUGUUGUUGCAUUUGACCAUGUGGGAUGCUAAUAGCUAUAGGAAAAUGAGUGAGACUAAUUACCUGUUAUGGGAAAUUGAAUUGUAUCAUACGCAUUACCUAUAGUUGUCUUUGUUCCACCUUAUUUUCCUGUUGCAUUUUUAAGAACCCUGACCUCAUCUGAUAAGGUGUUGAGUCUUACAUCAGAAGUUUACAUGGAAGAUAUAUCUUGGGUUUAAAGUAGGAGCAAAGAUCGUGAUUUUGGGGUAGGGGUUGGAGUUUGUAACAACCGUAUUUGUUUUGGAGUGUCUAGUCGCUUGGAAGCAUGCACUUUGGAUUUUGGGUAUAUAAGUAAAUUUUUUAACCUUCAGCUGUUGCCAUUGUAUGAAUUCUCCGGGUAGAUGUCAUUAUGUAUUGCACCUGUUAGAGGGGAUGCUAGUUAAGCUUGAUAAUUCAGAUCGUUAGUUCUGUUUGUGGUUGUAAUCAGUCAGUUGGGAGUUGGUUAGAGAAUGGAUAUAUGGACAGCUUUAUUUAUAUGAGGUGAUAACUAAUAAAUUGAGUUAUUGUUCUAUUGGGAAUUCAGUUGAUAAAUUUUUUUCCUUUAGGUACUGUGUGUGCGUUUGUGUGUGGGAAUCCAUUCACCUGUUGCUUUUGUACAACAGAGAUGUCAUUCUGGAUUCAGCUGUUGCCAUUACCUAGGCAAUGUUACUUGGGACAAAUUUGAUCACAUUUGUGUUCUAAAUUUCGAGGGUAGAUUUUGCAAAAACUGUUCUCCCGUUUUCCCUUGCCUUUUUGUUUUGUUGUGUUAUUGUUCCUUCUUCUUUCCUUUACACUAUAAGCUUCUAUCCUAAUUUUGGUGACACAAUUGCUGGUAUAACCUUCUAUGUAAUUUUAUGAUCAACUUUGUCUGCCACAUCUCUAGGCGCAUUUAGUGACCACUGCUUUACUAUUAGUCUCACCUGUGCAGUCAAAUAACCAUCCUAAUGGUAGUAUUGAGAACUUCAAGGUUCAGUCAGUUGGCAGAGUUUGGUUCUAAAGAUGUGUUUUCUGCUACUUUUUUCUUGGAAGUUCUUGAUGUUGCUACUUUUUGUUUUCUGGUGGAUUUAGGCAUGCUCUGAGGGACGAAGUGCUUGAAAUUGGCUUCAGAGAAUGAAGAAGUGCUUGAAAUUGGCUUCAAAGAAUGAAGAAUUCGUUGUAGCUUAGGACAUAACUCCGUGCUUGUGGUUCAAUUAGUUUUCUUUGUCCUUUUUAUUGUUAAGCUUUUGUUCUGCAUUUUUUAUGCAUUUUCAGAAAUUUGAUUGACGGUAGGUUAAUUCAAAUGUAGGCUUUCCGGCACGAUGUUUCUAUCUAUGACCUGUUUUGUGCAAGAUGCAAUAUCAGUUAUGCAUAUUUC